rnacentral:rRNA from 1 species
UACGUAGGGUGCAAGCGUUACUCGGAUUUAUUGGGCGUAAAGCGCAUGUAGGCGGUUUUGUAAGUUUGAUGUGAAAUCCCUGGACUCAAUUCAGGAACUGCAUUGAAUACUGCAAGACUAGAGUAUGAGAGAGGUAGGCGGAAUUCUUGGUGUAGAGGUGAAAUUCGUAGAUAUCAAGAGGAACAACAGAAGCGAAGGCGGCUUACUGGAUCAUUACUGACGCUGAGAUGCGACAGUGUGGGGAGCAAACAGG